GAUGAACGCUAGCGGCAGGCCUAACACAUGCAAGUCGAGGGGCAUCAUGGCGUAGCAAUACGCUGAUGGCGACCGGCGCACGGGUGCGUAACGCGUAUGGAACCUACCCACCGCAGGGGGAUAACCCGCCGAAAGGCGGACUAAUACCCCAUGGUUCCCCGACCCUGCCUGGGGUUGGGGGUAAAGCCUACGGGCGGCGGUGGAUGGCCCUGCGUGCCAUUAGCUGGCUGGUGGGGUAACGGCCCACCAGGGCGACGAUGGCUAGGGGGUCUGAGAGGACGAUCCCCCACACUGGUACUGAGACACGGACCAGACUCCUACGGGAGGCAGCAGUGAGGAAUAUUGGUCAAUGGGCGCAAGCCUGAACCAGCCAUCCCGCGUGAAGGAUGAAUGUACUAUGUAUUGUAAACUUCUUUUCUGCAAAGAGAAAGGGCACUACGUGUAGUGUUUUGACGGUAUUGCAGGAAUAAGCAUCGGCUAACUCCGUG
rnacentral:rRNA from 1 species